AGGGCGCACGGUGGAUGCCUUGGCACCAGGAACCGAUGAAGGACGUGGGAGGCCGCGAUAGGCCCCGGGGAGCUGUCAACCGAGCUGUGAUCCGGGGGUGUCCGAAUGGGGAAACCCGGCAGUCGUCAUGGGCUGUCACCCAUACCUGAACACAUAGGGUAUGUGGAGGGAACGCGGGGAAGUGAAACAUCUCAGUACCCGCAGGAAGAGAAAACAACCGUGAUUCCGGGAGUAGUGGCGAGCGAAACUGGAUGAGGCUAAACCGUAUGUGUGUGAUACCCGGCAGGGGUUGCGCAUGCGGGGUUGUGGGAGCGAGCUUCGGUCGUCUGCCGGCGGCUGGGUGAGUCAGAAACCAUUGCGAUAGGCGAAGGGCAUGCGAAAGGCCCGGCGUAGAGGGUAAGACCCCCGUAGCUGAAAUCGUGGUGGCUUGCUUGCUUGUUUCCCAAGUAGCACGGGGCCCGAGAAAUCCCGUGUGAAUCUGGCGGGACCACCCGCUAAGCCUAAAUAUUCCCUGGUGACCGAUAGCGGAUAGUACCGUGAGGGAAUGGUGAAAAGUACCGCGGGAGCGGAGUGAAAUAGUACCUGAAACCGUGUGCCUACAAGCCGUGGGAGCGUCGGGCAUCAGCUUGCUGGUGUCUCGUGACUGCGUGCCUUUUGAAGAAUGAGCCUGCGAGUUUGCGGUGUGUUGCGAGGUUAACCCGUGUGGGGAAGCCGUAGCGAAAGCGAGUCCGAAUAGGGCGGUGUAGUAGCGCGCUCAAGACCCGAAGCGGAGUGAUCUAGCCAUGGGCAGGUUGAAGCGGAGGUAAGACUUCGUGGAGGACCGAACCCACCAGGGUUGAAAACCUGGGGGAUGACCUGUGGUUAGGGGUGAAAGGCCAAUCAAACUCCGUGAUAGCUGGUUCUCCCCGAAAUGCAUUUAGGUGCAGCGUCGUGUGUUUCUUGCCGGAGGUAGAGCACUGGAUAGGCGAUGGGCCCUACCGGGUUACUGACCUUAGCCAAACUCCGAAUGCCGGUAAGUGAGAGCGCGGCAGUGAGACUGUGGGGGAUAAGCUCCAUGGUCGAGAGGGAAACAGCCCAGAGCAUCGACUAAGGCCCCUAAGCGUACGCUAAGUGGGAAAGGAUGUGGAGUCGCAGAGACAACCAGGAGGUUGGCUUAGAAGCAGCCAUCCUUGAAAGAGUGCGUAAUAGCUCACUGGUCAAGUGAUUCCGCGCCGACAAUGUAGCGGGGCUCAAGCGUACCGCCGAAGUCGUGUCAUUGCAGCAUAUAGGCCUAACGGUUGUUGUGAUGGGUAGGGGAGCGUCGUGUGCCGGGUGAAGCAGCCGUGUGAGCGAGUUGUGGAUGGUUCACGAGUGAGAAUGCAGGCAUGAGUAGCGAUUCACACGUGGGAAACGUGUGCGCCGAUUGACUAAGGGUUCCUGGGUCAAGCUGAUCUGCCCAGGGUAAGUCGGGACCUAAGGCGAGGCCGACAGGCGUAGUCGAUGGACAACCGGUUGAUAUUCCGGUACCCGCUUUGAAGCGCCAGCGCUGAACCAGGCGAUGCUAAGUCCGUGAAGCCGCCCUGGAUCCUUCGGGUGAAGGGGAGUGGUGGAGCCGACGGUCCAGACCUGUAGUAGGUGAGUGAUGGGGUGACGCAGGAAGGUAGUCCAGCCCGGGCGGUGGUUGUCCCGGGGUAAGGGUGUAGCCCGAGGGGUAGGUAAAUCCGUCUCUCAAACAGGGUGAGACCUGAUGCCGAGCCGAUUGUGGUGAAGUGGAUGAUCCUAUGCUGUCGAGAAAAGCCUCUAGCGAGUUUCAUGGCGGCCCGUACCCUAAACCGACUCAGGUGGUCAGGUAGAGAAUACCGAGGCGUUCGGGUGAACUAUGGUUAAGGAACUCGGCAAAAUGCCCCCGUAACUUCGGGAGAAGGGGGGCCAUUGCUGGUGAUCACCCUUGCGGUGUGAGCUGGUGGUGGCCGCAGAGACCAGCGAGAAGCGACUGUUUACUAAAAACACAGGUCCGUGCGAAGCCGUAAGGCGAUGUAUACGGACUGACGCCUGCCCGGUGCUGGAACGUUAAGGGGACCGGUUAGUCACAUUUCGGUGUGGCGAAGCUGAGAACUUAAGCGCCAGUAAACGGCGGUGGUAACUAUAACCAUCCUAAGGUAGCGAAAUUCCUUGUCGGGUAAGUUCCGACCUGCACGAAUGGCGUAACGACUUCUCGACUGUCUCAACCAUAGGCCCGGUGAAAUUGCAUUACGAGUAAAGAUGCUCGUUUCGCGCAGCAGGACGGAAAGACCCCGGGACCUUUACUAUAGCUUGAUAUUGGUGUUCGGUUCGGCUUGUGUAGGAUAGGUGGGAGACUGUGAAGCCGCAACGCCAGUUGUGGUGGAGUCGUUGUUGAAAUACCACUCUGGUCGUGCUGGAUGUCUAACCUGGGUCCGUGAUCCGGAUCAGGGACAGUGUCUGGUGGGUAGUUUAACUGGGGCGGUUGCCUCCUAAAGGGUAACGGAGGCGCCCAAAGGUUCCCUCAGCCUGGUUGGCAAUCAGGUGUUGAGUGUAAGUGCACAAGGGAGCUUGACUGUGAGACUGACGGGUCGAGCAGGGACGAAAGUCGGGACUAGUGAUCCGGCGGUGGCUUGUGGAAGCGCCGUCGCUCAACGGAUAAAAGGUACCCCGGGGAUAACAGGCUGAUCUUCCCCAAGAGUCCAUAUCGACGGGAUGGUUUGGCACCUCGAUGUCGGCUCGUCGCAUCCUGGGGCUGGAGUCGGUCCCAAGGGUUGGGCUGUUCGCCCAUUAAAGCGGUACGCGAGCUGGGUUUAGAACGUCGUGAGACAGUUCGGUCCCUAUCCGCUGUGCGCGUAGGAGUCUUGAGAAGGGCUGUCCCUAGUACGAGAGGACCGGGACGGACGAACCUCUGGUGUGCCAGUUGUUCUGCCAAGGGCAUGGCUGGUUGGCUACGUUCGGGAGGGAUAACCGCUGAAAGCAUCUAAGCGGGAAGCCUGCUUCGAGAUGAGGGCUCCCACCUCCUUGA
rnacentral:rRNA from 1 species